rnacentral:rRNA from 1 species
CCUACGGGGGGCAGCAGUCGAGAAUCAUUCACAAUGGGGGAAACCCUGAUGGUGCGACGCCGCGUGGGGGAAUGAAGGUCUUCGGAUUGUAAACCCCUGUCAUGUGGGAGCAAAUUAAAAAGAUAGUACCACAAGAGGAAGAGACGGCUAACUCUGUGCCAGCAGCCGCGGUAAUACAGAGGUCUCAAGCGUUGGUCGGAAUCACUGGGCGUAAAGCGUGCGUAGGCUGUUUCGUAAGUCGUGUGUGAAAGGCGCGGGCUCAACCCGCGGACGGCACAUGAUACUGCGAGGCUAGAGUAAGGGAGGGGGAACCGGAAUUCUCGGUGGAGCAGUGAAAUGCGUAGAUAUCGAGAGGAACACUCGUGGCGAAGGCGGGUUCCUGGACAUUAACUGACGCUGAGGCACGAAGGCCAGGGGAGCGAAAGGGAUUAGAUACCCUGGUAGUC